UAUAUACAAAAUAUGAUAGCAGAACUGCUUCUUUUAUGAUUGACAAGCAAAUCCUAGAGCUACAAAGAGAUUCCACAUUGUGCACAUUUUUGCCUCAGAACAGCCCAGUUCAAUGAAUGUACAGCUUCAAAGCCCUAUCAACUGCACGCUAUAUCUUUGAUUUGAAAUGUACAAGGUGUAAGCAAUGUACCUGUAACACUUUACCGUCAAUAAAACAGACUUUUUUCUGAAAACAUGCAUUUUUGCUGCCAAACAAGGUUGCAUUCUGAUCUAAAGCGUUGUGCACAUUUGUGAUACAAAACAGCUUAUUUCAAUAACUGCACAGGUUCAAACAUUCUGUAAAAUACACCAGGCAUUGUUGAUUUAGUGUAUGCAAGGCUUUUAGCACCAUAAAACAGUAAAACAGAGAAGUAUGCGAAACAACUGUGACGUUCUUGAUCAAUUUACAGCGUACACAUACUGACAGUGCGUGGCAGUCACAACUGCAUUGAACAGAACGAAAGUAAAAAGUUCUCUCUGAGUUUUGGAGCUUUAUGGAAUAAUUUGGAGGAUUCGGAAGUAACAAAAUGAAAAGAUGGAGGAUUGGAAAAAAACUUUAUGAGAAAAUACAUCUCAGAAUGCCUGCCGUUAAAAAUUACCAAGGAUGGAGGCGAAUGCAUGAUACAGGAGCUGAAAAAAAGAGCAACAUGUCCAGACCUGCUAAAUAUUUACAAGCAUACUGAAGAAGUGUGAAGCAUACUGAAGUGAUGUGUGUUCCACAGCUGUAAAUUAUGGAAAGAAAAGCAGAGCACUACAGUGAUUUGCACAGGCCAAGAUGUCUCAAGUUGUACAUUCAAACAGAAGUGAUGGGUGACAGGCUUUUACUAGCAACUUGUGAAGAAAAAUCAGGUAGCUAGAGCAGAGACCAGAUGCUGUGAUUGAUGCAAACAGAGAUAGACAUUUUACAAUGGAAAUGAUAGACUCUGAUAUUUGCAUGUAUUGUUUUGUAUGAUGAACUUUGCCCGUACAAGUGCCUAUGCCCGUAAAAGAGGCACACUUUUGCUUAUUGUGUUUGUUGUAUUUCAGUAUAAAAAGUAAUGGUAAAGGUCUCCGAGAUGAAGGUUUAGUGUUGUUGUCUGUAUUAUGAGUCCAAUAGCCUGUCCUGUCUGUCCGCAAUUAAUACUUUGUCAGCUUGUUUGCUAAGUAUGCUAUCCCAAUGAAAUGUUAAGAGACACUGGCAUUCACCAGUGUGAGUAAACAUGUUCACUCAUGCUGGUAGUGCCUUUGUGUAUUAAGUGUACUUGGUAGGCAAGUGUGGUCUAUCACAUCUCGGAGAUACAUAUAAUUAGAUCAAGUAAGGGUCGUUGACAAAGAUAAAAUGAGACGUGUUAUACUAUUUAACUAUACUUCUGAGAUACUCAGUAAGGUAGAUGCUCCUUCAAAAUUUCAACACUGAACAACAAAACUCUUGAUUUCUGACUGAUCAUUUUUCUUGAACGUCUCAUUUUAUCUUUGUCACCGAGCCCUUCAUAUAUCCAACCGCAGGCUACUGCGUCGAAAUUGCAGUCAAAUCUCUGGUACUCUUGGUAUUGAAAAUAUAUAGCACUUACAAAGUAUAGUCUCAAUGCGAUAACUUGAACAUUAUGUAAAACCAUUACAAAAUCCUAGAGAUGUCUCUUAUCAAACUAUCAAGUAAGCUGUAAUGCAAAAUCAUUACAAGACUAGUAUCAAGCUAUCGGAAUGUCAAAACAUGACCAUAAGGCUAUAUCAGAGAUUUGAAAUGCUUUUCGAUGCAAUAGUAUGAUGUUGGAAAUUUAUCCUACAUCCAACCGUAAUCCUACAUGAUGGUAUAAUUGUAUCAUAGUCCUUACCUGAUGUUGAGCAUUUUUUCCUCCCUUGUUUGGAUUUCUGAUCGGCAUGGGUUAAGUGUAAUGCUGGUUAUCAUGACCCGACUCUAUAUUUGGCGAGGCAGCGAAGCCGGUAUAGGGAAUUGCUUAACCCGACGCUGCGAGGAUUCAUGGACAGGGAUUAAAUGCUCUUGCCCCGCCAAAGGGAAGCACGA